GUUUGUUCUCCUGGGUUACUUCAAUUUCCCACCGAGCUUUCACGACCAAUGCCUUGACUGUUGAUUCAAAACUCGUGUUGACUGAAGACUGUUUCAGCUGAAAGCUGAUGGUUCCACUUUGUACAGGGAAAGCAGAGCAGAACAGCGUGAGAUGAAAUGUGGGAGCUGGUCCAGAAUGAUGCAAUGAAGAACGCGUCUUCAGCUGCAAAUUUGGAAGUAGCCAAGACAUGCAAACCACCUCUCUCCUUCAAGCUGGAAUGAAAAUGGAACUGAAAAUAUCAUUUCUGAGAGGCAUGAGCAAUAGUCUCAGGACCUGCUGUAAAAAGGGAAGUUGUUUAAAUAUACAAAGUUUGCAUUAGGAGCUGUUGGAAGGCAGACGAGCAGAAAUUACUUGCUGAUCAUGUCAUGCAUUUUUAGAGGUUCUCCUCAUUUAUCCCCAUUACAUACGCGCUCACUGAUUCUUUCAGUUGGAAGAGCUGCUUAGCCCACAGAGAUCCACGUUUCACCAUGCAUGCAUUGUAAAACCGCUAUAGGAAGAGCAUUUAGUGAAGAGUUAAUGGCUUCCUUAGAAGGAUAAUACAGUUAACAGUGGAGAGGAUGUACAGCUAAAUAUGGCCCUUAUAAAACUUAGCAGAUUCCAUUAAAAAACAGACGUGCAGGAAGUGUCAAGUUCCUAUUAGAGCUGAUUGUACACAGUUGCAUGGGAAGAAAUAAAUUUAGUGUACAGAAUUUUACAUCACAUCCUUUGAAAGCAGUGAAAUUCUCUGGGGUCCACAACUCUGUGCAUCUGGUCCACAUGCACAUAACAUACACACACAAACAAUUAACUGGUGUGCGAGGACUUUAAAGGAGAAUGCACAUCUAAAAGUCAGCGCCCACAUAUGCUGAAGUGAAUGGCAAUGUUGUGACUGGCUGCAACGGUCCCAGAUUGGAUUGCACUCAAAUCCAUGAGAGGUCCUCCUCCUCCUGAUAUUGCACUCUCCUGGGGGAGCUCCAUGUGUAUAUGAAGGAGGGAGAAACUCAUUUCUGUGCUUUGUGUGUUGGAAAAGCCAUCCCAUUCUUUUCUUUGGGUUAACUCUUAUUUCAGAAAUAAGACAAGAGCUAGUUAAAGAGUUCAUUAUUCAGUAGAUUAUUUACUAUGAGCAGAAAAUCGGAUUUGCUCUUACCCAAGUUAACUGAUUUUACGGGAUUCUACGUGUUUAUUUUGGGGAUAUUUUCAGGAAAAAUAUCUGGAGCCAGGAUCACCUAGCAUUAAAUGGUGGCUGUUCACAGGAGCCUGAAAAACCUUUCUCAGCUGUGUUUGAAAUGACCUUUUUAUUCAUUUGUGAGGACAUCAAGGAAUCAGUUUGCCUCUAUCCUCAGUCCUGCCGCCAGCAGGUAUUGCCAAGGAAAUGACCCAGACAACAUCAAGACAAAUCUAUGCUGAAGUGCAAGGUAAAAAUGCCUACCAGCAUAAAGAGCUGGACUCUGAGUAUGUUUCUGGACUCAAACCCAAGGCUUUUGUUCCCAGAAGAUUCACUUCCCAUCAGUACAUAGUGAAGCUUCAAGCCUGUGCAGUGAGGCUGUCUCAGCUGGGCUCAAGGCCUGAGGAGGAGCCUCAGGCUCCAGGCCUCUUUCUGAUGGGAGAUUCGGCUGUUCGGCAGUCCCCAGUGGGGACGAGAGUCAUGCCUGGCUUCUCACAAGGCCCUGUGGCCUCUGAGAACUGAGACAGCAAAAAUAUAAUGUUCAAAACCAAGUAUCCUUGAAAGCUGUUGGGUUGUAGCACCCUAGAAGAAUCCCCACCCUCGGGUGCCCAGUCCGUAAUGAGAAAGGCUAAAAACGCAGAUUGACAGAUCAAAGCAGCAGCCACCAUACCAUGGACAAGUACUUUGACAGAUGGCUUUGUGUGGAAUAUGGCGGCUGUCCUGCUGUGUUGGAAGAACUACGUUCAAUUUAAAUGUCUGGAUUUCCAGUCGAAAGGUUUUGUAGGAAAUAAGUAAGCAGUUUAGUGCAAGAAAUAAGCAGAAAACUCUCCGCUGUGCACAGUAUUUACAAAUCAUUUUUCGGUCGUUUGAUAUUUAAUUGAAUUUUUAUUCUUGCAUCAAGAAUAUGGAGACCAGAAGUCAAAUUAAAUGACUGAUGCCGGCCGGUAUGCACUGCUGGGGCAGAACAACUUUUUUUCUCUGAUGAAAGGUACCUAUUUCAGCUACUUUGGCAGCUCCAAAGUUCAUCUGUCAGCAUGCAGGGCUGUUUCCAUUGGCAUCUGCCGGCUUUGGAUAAGGCUUGCACAGCAAAUCCCCUAUCCACAGCAGGGCAAGGGCAGGCAGGCCUUUACAGUGAGGUUACUUCUCAACUCUAGGAGCAUGCUAUGUAAUGAGAAUUCAAAGCAGCAGCAGAACAUUAUUGAACAGCACGCCUAACACACUGCUAUUACUUACCAUCUGGUAAAAAUUAAAUUUCAUUAAUAAAUAUUAUUAUUUACUGUGGAUUUCAGGAGCCUGUGGGAGCCACAGGAAAAUCUAUCCGAGCAGCAGCAAGUUCUCUGAUGGUCUUCAUAAUGGCCUCUUUACAAAGUCUAAAUAAUUUUCCUGUUCAGUACUAUCCAAGCAACAAAAAUGUUCAGAGCAGGAAUAUAUAUUUCAUUCUGUACAGUGUUUCUUAGAGAAUUCAUCAGCUGAAUUUAUCUGGUGAGCACAGAACAUCAUCAUAUUAAAAGGAUGACCCCCUCCGCUACACCAGCUAACCCAUGUUGCUUUGUGUGACAUCAGUGGAUUAGAAAUGUUGCUUUUAUCCACUAACAACAGCAUCAAGCUUCUAAUGGGCAGUUUUGUUGUCACAAGCAGCACUGGUAAUUCCCUUCUUAUAAGCCCAAACAAAAGGAGUGGAGUCCCCAGCAUGUCUUGUCACAUCCUUUUUCCGACUGUGCCAAAGUGCUUGAGCUAACAGCCACCUACGUGUGACUCUAGCAUAGUUUAUCCUGAGCUGGAGGGAUACAUUUACGUCUGUACAUAUAUAUGAAUAUAGGCAUGUUGUAAAGGUGUUGCUUGGAAACUAUUCACAGCAACAGGAUGGGCACGGAUCUGCUUCUAUGGAGUCUGACUUGUAUUACCCAGUGGGGUAACUCCGGCUGCUGCACAACAGGACAAGUGUCUGUGUGGUUCCUGUAAGGGUGUCACCAUCCAGCCCUCCUUCCCUAACCAGGAAACCACCCGCAGUGCUGUUAGCAAAGAAAAGUAUGAUCACAUCCAAAAAAAAACCCACUUGUCAUUCACCCUAUUUGCCCAAGAUGACAAUGAGGGCUCAGGAGUUUCUUGUCUCUUCCAUCUGUGUUUCUGGUGAAAAUCAGCCUCCUGGUCCAGUGGCAGGGAGCAGCUGCCCAAGUGCUUGGCGGUGCUGCUGCCCUCUGUAGUCCCUGAUUAGAGCUUGAACCUGAGAGGAUUCCUUGUUGUCAUCAGAGAGAUUGAUCAUCAGCUCCGUUCUGCAAUGUCACAUCACAUCAGGUUCUCAGACACAAUGAGACCAGUGGCCACAACUGUCUCUGAAGUCUUCUGAAGCAGAGUGAUUGUCUCAGCAGUUUUUUCCCCUCUCAGGGUCUGGAGUUUAGACAUAGGAUCAUAAGGGUUGGAAAAGGGCUGUUUUGCUAAGAACAAUCUUAUUAAAGCCAGGUCUUGGCUAUGCCUUGGACACCCACAGUUGGCCAGGAAGUGCUAGGUGGUGUCCUGCCCUGAAAGGUCACAAGAAGGGCUCAUAAACUGUGCCCAUGACCAGCUAGGAACCAGCCACAGGGGAGAGGGAAGAUAUUGACCAGAGCAGUUGUUACUGAGGCAAUAUAAAGCAAACUGCCCACCUGAGCACACCUGUGAAGUGAACUGAGGAGGAGAAGGAGGUCCUGCACCCAUCAACACAUCAGGAGGAAGAUAGUGGGCAAAAGAUGUGGAGGGUACAGCCCAGACUAAUUGCUGGUGGCAUCCACCCAUAAUGCGGGUCAACCCUAGCCCUGAUUUUCUCAAAACAGGCUUAAUAAUGAUUAACUUCAGGCUGGAUGAGGAGAAAAUAAAUGUUAACUAACAACCUUGAUUUCCUAGUGCACACAACACCAGCUUUUUUUUUAUGUUGGCUCCUCUCGCCUUUUUCUAUUUGCCUGGGAAACACCGACCCCAUGCAUUGCCCCCUUUCUUCAGCUUUAUACUGAGGGAAUGACGGGAAAUCAGGAGUGAUGAAUCAGUGAUGCAAAGCAAAGCUUACAACCCGCAAGCAUCAGUGGGUAUGCAGCCACGCUGAUGGAGCUGCAGAUCCUUUUCUUCCUCUUACCUUAUGAAUUAAUUUGCCAUCAUGUCAGUCCAAUUGUAACUAAACUGGCUUCUUUUCUUCCGUUUUUUAUGAUGCACUCUGCAGUGCUACGCUUAGCCUGAAGGUUUCAAAUGGCAUGUAAAUGGAUAUUGCCCUGCAAGCUGCAUUCUGCCAUACAAUCACAACCGUCUCCUAAGUCUUAAAAGCCAGAGCAUGAUGUGAAUUACAGGCUUUUCUUCUCCAUGUGGGGCUCAUAGCUUAUAGUCCUAAAUUACAUUUUGUCAGCUUGUUAACAAAGCAAGAUAGAAGACCAUUAAAAAUAAGCUGCCGUUAUGUAAGUGUUCACGAGUGUCUAAAUAUUAAUGUCAGGGCUCCGUAUUAUGGAAGUGCUCUAAAUAAUCCCUUUUAGCCUUUGUAGUUUAAUCUUUAUUCAUAUUUCAUCCAUUAGUUACCUUUAAAUAGCAUGGUUCUUUUGAUAACUAAGAGGCUGUGAAUAACACUCGCUGAAAUUACAAUAUCCCUGUCUUUCAGUGCCACAGUCAAAAAUGACUGUAUUGCUGGGGCCGUGUUGUCUUUGGUAUUUCAAUUGCAAAUGAACUGUGCAACCUGCAGCAGUUUAAACAAAAAAAAAAUGCAAACAUCCUGGUGCCCACCUCCUUCCUCCAUCCACCAUCUGCAGCAGUACCGAAAUCUCAGCCCACUGCCAUUGUCAGCGCUUAACUCACACCACUACAACACCCCAUGUUAUUUACUGGUUUCCAAAACUUACCACCAAAAUGCUACCUUGAUGAUGCCAAGGUGAUGAGAUAAAAUGAUAAAAAGCAGGAAUUAAAAGCUUCCACGCUGUGCCUCACUAGCUGCCGCUGUCCACAACCGAUCUAUUGUGUCGGGGAAUUGCAGGGGUUGGCUGGAGGCCACAGCAAUGUGCUCUGUGUUUGCUGUAAUAUCCAGAGGCGGGAGAGGAGACAUUCAUUUAUUUUAUUUGCUCUCAGUAUGGUACGAUCCCUGCCCUACCAGGGCUUUCAUCUAGAAAGCACACAAGCAAUAGCGGA
ensembl:lncRNA